AGCAGCAGCCACGGGAAUACGAAGGGUGCAAGCGUUACUCGGAAUUACUGGGCGUAAAGGGUGCGUAGGUGGUUCUUUAAGUCCGUUGUGAAAUCCCUGGGCUCAACCUGGGAAUGGCAGUGGAUACUGGAAAGCUAGAGUGCGGUAGAGGGUAGUGGAAUUCCCGGUGUAGCAGUGAAAUGCGUAGAGAUCGGGAGGAACACCAGUGGCGAAGGCGGCUACCUGGACCAGCACUGACACUGAAGCACGAAAGCGUGGGGAGCAAACAGGAUUAGAUACCCCCGUAGUCCCUGUCUCUUAUAC
rnacentral:rRNA from 1 species